UACCCGAGGGAAACUUCGGCUAAUACCGAAUACGAAUUUAAGAGGCAUCUCUUGAAUUUGAAAGGGGCGUUUCUAAGCCCCGCUGAUUGAUGGACCUGCGGCGCAUUAGCUAGUUGGUGAGAUAACAGCCCACCAAGGCGAGGAUGCGUAGCCGACCUGAGAGGGUGAACGGCCACAAUGGGACUGAGACACGGCCCAUACUCCUACGGGAGGCAGCAGUAGGGAGUUUUCGGCAAUGGGGGAAACCCUGACCGAGCAACGCCGCGUGAACGAUGAAGGUCUUCGGAUUGUAAAGUUCUGUUGUAGGGGAUGAAUGAUUCGUGAAGGAAAUGUCACGAAUUUGACAGUACUCUACCAGAAAGCCACGGCUAACUACGUGCCAGCAGCGGC
rnacentral:rRNA from 1 species